AGUAAAUAUCUGGCAGAGUUCUGGCUAAGGUUUGGUUGGCCAAAGAGUAAAAAAAACACACCAAAAAGUUUUUGUAAAUGUAAAAAGUCUAAAUUAAAUGGCUUUGUCAUGUCAAAAACCAUUGACAAUAUUUAUUUAUUAAAUAGCAGACACUUUUCAAAACCUAUUUAUAUAAAAUCAUAUUUACAAUUGAUAAAAACAUCAAAGUUAAUAUUUAAGGCAAUAAUAAAUAUGUUUAUCCUUAUUGAAAGACAAAAUGUAGAAAAUGUUAUUUUGGGCAGUUAAUCCAAAGGGGUCAAUGUGCAAUAUACAAACAAUGCAAUAAACAGAUAAAUGAAUAAUGCAGUUUGUUCUAAUAUACAUCAAACAAAAGUAUUUUAAGUAUGUGUGCUUGUUUAAGUCUUUUUAGUUUUGUAUUUUAUUUUUUAUAAAUAAAUAAGACUUUACAUUAAAUUGUGUUUAAAUUUAAAAAUACGACUUACUAAUACUAAUAUUUAUUGGUGCACUUUCGUUCCUAAAACAAUGACAUAUAUUGCAAUGCAUCUUGGAAAUAGUAGUCAUUUAACCUCAGGAGCGUUCAAUACGCCGUGGAAAAUGGACUACCUUUCCCAUAAUGCAACUGGUCAUGAUCAGGAACUUCCGCGAAUUUCAAACCCCUGCUGUGUACUGGACGGAGGACGCGCGAUCUUUUGUCUUUUUGGAGUUUUAUAUAACACAGUAAGUAAAAUAAGCAACAUGCAUGACGGGGAUGAUAAAAUAAUCAAUAAGAAGUUUGAAUCUUUAAAAAUAAAUGAAUGCUGAACCCAAAGAAGCCAACCAAAGAUGAGAUGUUUUCUGUACCAAACCACAAAUCACCAUUUGCUGGUAAUCAUAACAGAUAGCCAAAAGUCAUGUACCACACUUUGUCAACAAUAAAUGUUGUUUCUGCAAUCUGGAUAAAGAAUAAUAUAUUACUGCCUCUUGGAGAACAGCCGACCGUACUUCAGACAGAGACAAAGACGUGAGGACAUCCAUUGCUUUUAAGUCAUGUACCACACUUUGUCAACAAUGCAUGUUGUUCCUGCAAUCUGGAUGAAGAAUAAUAUAUUACUGCCUCUUGGGAAAACAGCAGACUGUACUCCAGACAGAGACAAAGACAUGAAGACAUCCAUUGCUUUUAAGUCCUAUACCAGACUAUGUUGUUCCAGCUGUCUGGGUAAAGACUGAUACAUUACUGCCUCUUGGAGAACAGCAAACCAUUCUCCAGACAGAGACAAAGACAUGGACAUCAAAACAGAAAAUAAAGUACUUGAUCUUGGAUUGUUUGGGGCGAGUGCUGGCAAAUAAUGAAGCAGGAAAUGAAAAUGGUAAUAAUUGGUAAUUUAGAAAUCCUUCUGGAACUCUGAAAUCUGCAAACAUAUCUUUUCCCAUUUAAAGAACUUAAAAGUAUCAGUUCUUGGACUGGCAGUGUG